GACGGGGGGGGCAAGUGUUCUUCGGAGUGACUGGGCGUAAAGGGCGCGUAGGCGGAUGGUACAGUCAGAUGUGAAAUUCCCGGGCUCAACCUGGGGGCUGCAUUUGAUACGUGCUGUCUUGAGUUCGGAAGAGGGUCGUGGAAUUCCCAGUGUAGAGGUGAAAUUCGUAGAUAUUGGGAAGAACACCGGUGGCGAAGGCGGUUCUCUGGGCCUUACCUGGACGCUGAGGAGCGAAAGCGUGGGGAGCAAACAGG
rnacentral:rRNA from 1 species